rnacentral:lncRNA from 1 species
GAGCUUGUCUCUUCGUUGUACAUAUGGGAGGUUCUCUAUCAUGAAUCUGUAUAAGGCCAAGCAUAUACAGAUUCAUUAUUGAGAUUCAAGAUUAUGACAACUUGUAUCCCUCAUUAACCUUGCAACUGGUAUGAUUGGCCUUACAGAUACCGGUACAGAUUCAUGAUCAAGAGCCUCCCAUAUGUACGGGGAAGAGAUAGGCUCUUACAAAACAUCGUGCACCUGCAUACGUAUAAGUCAUACUUUACUUUACUUUUCAAAGAAUAUAUUAUCAGUAAACCAGGGGCCUGCCCAUGGGUGGCCCAUAUUGGCCGCACCUUUAGCCAGGUUGGUUCUAAGAGAGAUUGAAGGGAAGGUCUUGCCCAGUUCCAGCCGCACCUCGUCGGGUUUUGAGAUAUGUUUAUGACGUUUAGUGGCAUCUUCACAGUUUGGACGGGCACCGAUGGCAUGGAUGAUUUUCAAGCAGCCCAUUAUGGUACAUCGCUUGCCUUGGCCCAUUGUGGUGCAUCGCUUGGGAGAGACUGAGAUGGUUCCCAGCAGAUCUGUUGCCUGGAUCUGGGCCAGGGCGCGCUCGGGACCUCCAUAUGCAGGGGGCCCUAUUGCCGCCCGGUCUUGGUCCCCGGCUGGUUGCCGGACCCGUGCUCUUAUAAGGCAUUGGCCUUUGGUUUUUAUUUUGGCAGGGCCUGCAGCUGUUCUUCAGACGUGGCGGCGCCGAAUCGGG